rnacentral:rRNA from 1 species
AGGCUUAACACAUGCAAGUCGAGGGGCAGCAUGGUCUUAGCUUGCUAAGGCCGAUGGCGACCGGCGCACGGGUGAGUAACACGUAUCCAACCUGCCGUCUACUCUUGGACAGCCUUCUGAAAGGAAGAUUAAUACAAGAUGGCAUCAUGAGUCCGCAUGUUCACAUGAUUAAAGGUAUUCCGGUAGACGAUGGGGAUGCGUUCCAUUAGAUAGUAGGCGGGGUAACGGCCCACCUAGUCUUCGAUGGAUAGGGGUUCUGAGAGGAAGGUCCCCCACAUUGGAACUGAGACACGGUCCAAACUCCUACGGGAGGCAGCAGUGAGGAAUAUUGGUCAAUGGGCGAGGGCCUGAACCAGCCAAGUAGCGUGAAGGAUGACUGCCUUAUGGGUUGUAAACUUCUUUUAUAAAGGAAUAAAGUCGGGUAUGGAUACCCGUUUGCAUGUACUUUAUGAAUAAGGAUCGGCUAACUCCGUGCCAGCAGCCGCGGUAAUACGGAGGAUUCGAGCGUUAUCCGGAUUUAUUGGGUUUAAAGGGAGCGUAGAUGGAUGUUUAAGUCAGUUGUGAAAGUUUGCGGCUCAACCGUAAAAUUGCAGUUGAUACUGGAUAUCUUGAGUGCAGUUGAGGCAGGCGGAAUUCGUGGUGUAGCGGUGAAAUGCUUAGAUAUCACGAAGAACUCCGAUUGCGAAGGCAGCCUGCUAAGCUGCAACUGACAUUGAGGCUCGAAAGUGUGGGUAUCAAACAGGAUUAGAUACCCUGGUAGUCCACACGGUAAACGAUGAAUACUCGCUGUUUGCGAUAUACGGCAAGCGGCCAAGCGAAAGCGUUAAGUAUUCCACCUGGGGAGUACGCCGGCAACGGUGAAACUCAAAGGAAUUGACGGGGGCCCGCACAAGCGGAGGAACAUGUGGUUUAAUUCGAUGAUACGCGAGGAACCUUACCCGGGCUUAAAUUGCAGAUGAAUUACGGUGAAAGCCGUAAGCCGCAAGGCAUCUGUGAAGGUGCUGCAUGGUUGUCGUCAGCUCGUGCCGUGAGGUGUCGGCUUAAGUGCCAUAACGAGCGCAACCCUUGUUGUCAGUUACUAACAGGUUCUGCUGAGGACUCUGACAAGACUGCCAUCGUAAGAUGUGAGGAAGGUGGGGAUGACGUCAAAUCAGCACGGCCCUUACGUCCGGGGCUACACACGUGUUACAAUGGGGGGUACAGAGGGCCGCUACCACGCGAGUGGAUGCCAAUCCCAAAAACCUCUCUCAGUUCGGACUGGAGUCUGCAACCCGACUCCACGAAGCUGGAUUCGCUAGUAAUCGCGCAUCAGCCACGGCGCGGUGAAUACGUUCCCGGGCCUUGUACACACCGCCCGUCAAGCCAUGGGAGCCGGGGGUACCUGAAGUGCGUAACCGCGAGGAGCGCCCUAGGGUAAAACUGGUGACUGGGGCUAAGAC